rnacentral:lncRNA from 1 species
CGGCGACUCCGGGAAUCCGGGCGGCCGCGGGCAGUGCCGAGCGCCCGGCCCCGCCCCGCUGCCGCCGUCCAAUCGCCUGCGGCUGAGGGCUGGAUCUGAGACGCGCUGGCGGCGGGGAAGUUGGCUGCGGUGGGGUGCCUGGGCUGCGGGCUGGUGCUGUCGGGGUAGCUGCCCCGCGACCCGGGUGCCUCGGGAGGGAAGUGGCGGCCCCGGAAGGCCCCUGCCUUAGAGAGGUCUGGGGCCGUCCAGAGCCCCAAGAGCCGCAGCGUGUCGGCGCGCUGUGAAGCGAGAAGCCCAGCCGCAGCGCGGACCGACUCCGGAUUGACAACGCCCACACCUGGUGUCCGCGGGAGGCGCCCAACUUGGCGUCCCCAAAGGAGCCCCAGCGAGGAAACCGAUACCCAAAGAGGGAUGAAGAAGUUUGUGGAAUGGCUUGGGAAUGAGAAGACUGAGUUGAGGCCAUGGAAGCUGGGCUGGUCCUUUUGUGGAUGGUGAGCAAAUCUCCCUUCAGGCACUGUCACCCAUCUCUGACACUGAAACAACAUUUUGGAGCCUUGUAAAUUUCAGCAGGAUGUGACUGAUAGGAGCCCUGGGUUCUAAUCUGAGCUGUGAGUGCUCCUGGCAGUCACUUAACCUCUGUUUACCCCUGCUUCCUCUCCAUAAAACAGCAGUGGCAGAAUUGACCCACUCUGUUUAGCUGCUGAAGGGGGACACUGUGACAGCGGUUAAAAAGCACUGCCAGUUCAUGCCAUUUAUAGCAGUAGCGAUUGUUGAAAAGGAGAACAAAAUGAUGUUGAAACAGGAAAACAGUGUGGUCUGAACAGUUCCUCUCUACACUUGGAAUUUCUCUUCAUUUUAAUCUCGUUGGAUUAUUGUCCUUUUAUUCCAUAAAUGGAAAUGACGGAAAAGGGUCCUCACAGUCCUUGUUCUUUGAUUACCUUGUUCUUUGAUUGUCCUUGUUCUUUGUUUUGGGAGCUUUGCUCAACUGAAUAGUGUUUUUCCCCAUUUUCCGUUUCCACCACCUCUCUCAUCAUGUAUUCACUUUGAAAAUUAUUCAGAAAUUGAACAGGCUGAGCUAAAGACCUUAGCAAAGAAAUGCAAUCAGAAGCAGCAGAUUCUAAUACCAGCCCUGCCAUAGGUUCGUUCUAGGACUACAGGCAAGCCAUUAACCUGAGUUUUCCAACUACAAAACAGCAAUCCUUCUGAUUAAUUUCACAGAAAGAAGAGAUAACUCAUGAUAAGGCACUCUGAAAUAUUAAUUCCCCUAGAGAGGACAAAAUAUCUUGUAGGUGAUUUUGCAAACUCGAGUAUGGUGUUAGUUUGUCCGCAACUAGGAGCUAUUUUUGUAACAGAGAGAUUGCUCUGGCACAAGGUCUGCAGCCAGGGUGAUACCAC